GACUCAACACGGGGAAACUCACCAGGUCCAGACACAUUAAGGAUUGACAGAUUGAGAGCUCUUUCUUGAUCAUGUGGGUGGUGGUGCAUGGCCGUUCUUAGUUGGUGGAGUGAUUUGUCUGCUUAAUUGCGAUAACGAACGAGACCUUAACCUGCUAAAUAGCCAGGCCCGCUUUUGCGGGUCGCCGGCUUCUUAGAGGGACUAUCGGAUUUCAAGUCGAUGGAAGUUUGAGGCAAUAACAGGUCUGUGAUGCCCUUAGACGUUCUGGGCCGCACGCGCGCUACACUGACGGAGCCAGCGAGUUUUAUUGUUCCUUUGCCGAGAGGUAUGGGUAAUCUUGUGAAACUCCGUCGUGCUGGGGAUCGAAUGUUGCAAUUUUCAUUCGUCAACGAGGAAUUCCUAGUAAGCGCAAGUCAUCAGCNUGCGUUGAUUACGUCCCUGCCCUUUGUACACACCGCCCGUCGCUACUACCGAUUGAAUGGCUUAGUGAGGCUUCCGGAUUGGCUUAGACAGGGGGGCGACUCCCAGUUGGAGCCGAGAAGCUAGUCAAACUUGGUCAUUUAGAGGAAGUAAAAGUCGUAACAAGGUUU
rnacentral:rRNA from 1 species